UACGUAGGGGGCAAGCGUUGUCCGGAAUCAUUGGGCGUAAAGAGCGUGUAGGCGGCCCGAUAAGUCCGCCACGAAAGUCCAGGGCUCAACCCUGGGAUGCCGGUGGAAACUGUCGGGCUAGAGUCCGGAAGAGGCGAGUGGAAUUCCUGGUGUAGCGGUGAAAUGCGCAGAUAUCAGGAGGAACACCGGUGGCGAAGGCGGGUCUCUGGGCCGAUACUGACGCUGAGGAGCGAAAGCGUGGGGAGCGAACAGG
rnacentral:rRNA from 1 species